rnacentral:rRNA from 1 species
UACGGGGGGGGCAAGCGUUGUUCGGAAUUACUGGGCGUAAAGGGCUCGUAGGCGGCCAACUAAGUCAGACGUGAAAUCCCUCGGCUUAACCGGGGAACUGCGUCUGAUACUGGAUGGCUUGAGGUUGGGAGAGGGAUGCGGAAUUCCAGGUGUAGCGGUGAAAUGCGUAGAUAUCUGGAGGAACACCGAUGGCGAAGGCAGCUCGCUGGGACGGUACUGACGCUGAGGCGCGAAAGCGUGGGGAGCGAACAGG